rnacentral:rRNA from 1 species
CAGUCGCCGCGGUAAUACAGAGGGUGCGAGCGUUAAUCGGAUUUACUGGGCGUAAAGCGUGCGUAGGCGGCUAAUUGAGUCGGAUGUGAAAUCCCCGAGCUUAACUUGGGAAUUGCAUUCGAUACUGGUUAGCUAGAGUGUGGGAGAGGAUGGUAGAAUUCCAGGUGUAGCGGUGAAAUGCGUAGAGAUCUGGAGGAAUACCGAUGGCGAAGGCAGCCAUCUGGCCUAACACUGACGCUGAGGUACGAAAGCAUGGGGAGCAAACAGGAUUAGAUACCCCCGUAGUCCCUGUCUCUUUACA